AAGACCCCCAAGGACAAGGAGGAAAUUGUGAUCUGCGAUCGAGCCUCGGUCAAGGAGUUCAAAGAGGAAAUCUCCCGGAGGUUUAAGGCUCAGCAGGAUCAGCUGGUCCUGAUCUUCGCAGGCAAGAUCCUCAAGGAUGGGGACACACUGAACCAGCACGGAAUCAAGGACGGGCUCACUGUCCAUCUGGUCAUCAAGACCCCUCAGAAGGCUCAAGAUCCAGCUGCUGCCACUGCUUCUUCCCCCUCCACACCUGACCCUGCCUCAGCACCCUCCACCACGCCUGCUUCUCCCGCCACCCCUGCCCAGCCCUCCACCUCUGGCAGUGCCUCUUCGGAUGCUGGCAGUGGAAGCCGGAGGAGCAGUGGUGGGGGGCCCUCUCCAGGGGCUGGGGAGGGAUCCCCCAGUGCUACUGCGUCCAUACUCUAUGCAGCAGUUGAUGGAGCGGAACCCUGAGAUCAGCCACAUGCUCAAUAACCCUGAACUCAUGAGGCAGACAAUGGAGCUUGCUCGGAAUCCAGCCAUGAUGCAAGAGAUGAUGCGGAACCAGGACCGGGCCCUGAGCAACCUUGAGAGCAUCCCUGGAGGGUAUAAUGCCCUCCGCCGCAUGUACACGGACAUCCAGGAGCCCAUGUUCAGUGCUGCCCGGGAACA
rnacentral:sRNA from 1 species